AUACUACUUGGGUAUGAAAGUUCCUAAGAGAAGAGGAGAAGAUCUCUCUGUCCACCACCUCUGGAACUACACUGACCUGAUCUCCAAAAAGUGUAAAAAUAACAGUGCUAUUCUUUUGAGGGAGAAGUAUGAUAGAAGACUCAAAUAACCUUGUAGCACUUACCUGAAUAUUGCCCUGAGGGAAGUUGAGUGCUGGAUGGGACAAAUUGCUAGAGAAGAGGCAAAGAAGAGGAACAAAUGUUGAGAAAUAAAGGCUCACAUUCCUGACUGCUAGGGUAUUGGGGAACCUUCUACUAGAGCAAGGAAGGCAGCGAAGCUUGAACUAAAGAUCUGAAGCACUUUGCUGUGUCAUCUAUCUUCAUUGUCCCUUCUGGGAGCCACAGAAAUGGUACACACCCCAUCUGGGAACCAAAAACACCUAGCAACUGCAGCCUGAAUGAGGGCUUGAAAUGCUCUGCCAUUUCAUUUAUCUUCUCCGUCCCUCCUGGCAACCAGAGAAACAGUGGCUGAAGGCACACCCCACCCAGAAACCAGAGACAGCAAGUGCUGUACCCUGAGCAGAAGCCUGAAAGCAAGCCAUUCCAUUCAUCCCCUGCUUCCUGUCUGCAGCACUGUACCUGGCACAGGAGUCACUUAGAAUAUGCAAACUAGGAGGAUGGAACUUCCAGAAAUUCUCACAGAGAAAAUAUAAGGUGACAGAAGCAUACAUCCGAACACCCAAACUGACCUUCUGUGGAUGAGAUAUUCCCCUAACUUUCAUUGAUAUCCCCACUGGUUUUUAAACUCACCCAUGUAAGUUGGAUUAUUUGACCCGAGAUACUCUUUCAGAGUUGAUUGUGUCAGUUAUUAGAGGUUGCCAGUCCUUGGGUCUGGAGUGGUGGGGAGUUGUGAGAAGCCAUUUGGUGACUGUCAACAUCACUAUGUUAUUCCUGUCUAUCCCUAUGUAUUGGAUUGGUUCCAAUUGGACCUUAACCAAAAUUAAACGAAAUAUGUGCUUAGGCUCUUUGGUGUUUCUAAAAUCCACUUUUUUUUCUCAUGCUUUAUUCCAACCACUAAAUAAACAUUCCUUCUUUUGUGGGAGCUGCUUGUCAGUAUUAGAAGAAAAACAGGUGCCUGAAACCAGUCAGAUCUACAGGAUGAUAGGCAUUAGUACAUACAAGAUAACACUUGCCUCCUAACAAAAAGUAAAAGAAGAGCAAGAUUGCACACAAACACAAGCCUAGGAUCAGACAAGUCAGGAGCCAUAGGUGAUGUCAGUCUUGUAACACUGAAAACAAAAUGUCAGGAUUCUGGUAAAAAAUAAUGGUGAUUCCACUGUCUGCUCUGAAACUUAGAACUCUACAAAAAAAAUUAAAUAAAAUCCUUUUGAGU
rnacentral:lncRNA from 7 species